rnacentral:rRNA from 1 species
UGGGGAAUUUUGGACAAUGGGGGCAACCCUGAUCCAGCCAUGCCGCGUGAGUGAAGAAGGCCUUCGGGUUGUAAAGCUCUUUCGGCGGGGACGAAACGGUCCGUGACAACACCACGGACUAAUGACAGUACUCGCAGAAGAAGCACCGGCUAACUACGUGCCAGCAGCCGCGGUAAUACGUAGGGUGCAGGCGUUAAUCGGAAUUACUGGGCGUAAAGCGUGCGCAGGCGGCUCCUUAAGUCAGAUGUGAAAUCCCCGGGCUUAACCUGGGAACUGCGUUUGAAACUGAGGGGCUAGAGUGUGGAAGAGGGGGGUGGAAGUUCCAGGUGUAGCAGUGAAAUGCGUAGAGAUCUGGAGGAACACCGAUGGCGAAGGCAGCCCCCUGGGCUAACACUGACGCUCAUGCACGAAAGCGUGGGGAGCAAACAGGAUUAGAUACCCCUGUAGUCCCUGAGCGGGCUGGCAAGGCGCAU